AGAGUGAACGCUGGCGGUAGGCCUAACACAUGCAAGUCGAACGGCAGCACGGUAAGAGCUUGCUCUUAUGGGUGGCGAGUGGCGGACGGGUGAGGAAUACAUCGGAAUCUACCUUUUGGUGGGGGAUAACGUAGGGAAACUUACGCUAAUACCGCAUACGCCCUUCGGGGGAAAGCCGGGGACCAGCAAUGGCCUGGCGCUGAUAGAUGAGCCGAUGUCGGAUUAGCUAGUUGGUGAGGUAAUGGCUCACCAAGGCGACGAUCCGUAGCUGGUCUGAGAGGAUGAUCAGCCACACUGGAACUGAGACACGGUCCAGACUCCUACGGGAGGCAGCAGUGGGGAAUAGUUGGACAAGUGGGCGCGAAGCCUGAUCCAGCCAGUACCGCGUGGUGAAGAAGGCCGUUAGGUUGUAAAGUCCGUUUUAGUAGGUAAAGAAAAG
rnacentral:rRNA from 1 species